rnacentral:rRNA from 1 species
GCUGGCGGCGUGGAUAAGACAUGCAAGUCGAGCGGGAUUUCCUUUGGUAGCAAUACCGAGGGAAAUUCAGCGGCGAACGGGUGCGUAACACGUGGGCAAUCUGUCUUAAAGUGGGGGAUAGCUCGGCGAAAGCCGAAUUAAUACCGCAUGUGAUCAGAGGCGACAUCGCUUCGAAAUCAAAGGUGGCGCAAGCUACCGCUUUUUGAGGGGCCCGCGGCCUAUCAGCUUGUUGGUGAGGUAAUGGCUCACCAAGGCUAUGACGGGUAGCUGGUCUGAGAGGACGACCAGUCACACUGGGACUGAGACACGGCCCAGACACCUACGGGUGGCAGCAGUCGAGAAUUUUUGACAAUGGGGGAAACCCUGAUCGAGCGACGCCGCGUGGAGGAUGAAGGUCUUCGGGUUGUAAACUCCUGUCAUUUGGGAACAAGGUGCACACGUUAACUGCGUGUGCAUUGAUAGUACCAGAAGAGGAAGAGACGGCUAACUCUGUGCCAGCAGCCGCGGUAAUACA